rnacentral:lncRNA from 10 species
CAAUGCCUCCCUCUUUUACCUUCGUCUGCAAAAUCCCAGGCCCCCUUCCUUUUCUUUGAGAUGUCCCUCAUUAAUGAGCAUUCUCUUCAUGGCACUAGCUUGAAUAAAACCAUCUCCUUAAUCGUCAAGUGAAUUUCGUCUGUCACAGUGCCAGCGACGAACUCUCAUAAGGGCAGCCAGCACUUCGCCCCUGACUGUCCUGCUGGAGUGACAACCAUCUGUGCUGAGCCUCUUUGCAGUCCUCCUGUGGCUCAUCCCUCGGACAGCCGCCCUUUCAACAUCUCAGGCUGAAGAUCUCUGUGUACAGUCACAAUCUUGGUGCAGCUUCUGCAGACCCUGGUGCAUCCAGUCAUACCAAUUCCACAUCCACAGCACAUGC